rnacentral:rRNA from 1 species
UACGUAGGGGGCAAGCGUUGUCCGGAUUUAUUGGGCGUAAAGAGCGUGUAGGCGGCUAGGUAGGUCCGUUGUGAAAACUCGAGGCUCAACCUCGAGACGUCGAUGGAAACCAUCUAGCUAGAGUCCGGAAGAGGAGAGUGGAAUUCCUGGUGUAGCGGUGAAAUGCGCAGAUAUCAGGAAGAACAUCCGUGGCGAAGGCGGCUCUCUGGUACGUGACUGACGCUGAGACGCGAAAGCGUGGGGAGCGAACAGG